rnacentral:lncRNA from 1 species
CAUAAAAAAGGAGGGAACAGUGAUAAUAACAACAGUAUAUAGGAAGCGGACUUGUCGGCCCAUGCUGGUCCCGAGCUGGUCGCCUGACCCGAUAGUGCGGGGGGCUGCUGCAUUCGGAUAUUGCUUCGGGAGAGCGUGUGAAUGCACGGUGGGGGGCCGGGACUUGCAUGAGGGGCUCAGCUGCAUCUACAGAGUGGAGCGUGGGCGUGGGUGCUCCAAGAGGUUCUUUAGCACCAUGCACAACAGGAUCGGGGCGGCCCAGAGUGAAGAGAGGGGUGGCACUAAUGGGAUGGGCAGGCGCAGUG